rnacentral:lncRNA from 1 species
GAGGUCGGAUUGAUUGGAGUUGGGUUGCGACGGCAGGUUGACGGUGACAGAACCUGCAAGAAAAGUUUCUAACUGGGUAUGACUCCGAUGGAGAUCAUCCGAUGUUCAAAUUAGAAUUCCGACAAUAGAUAGAAAAGAGUGAACGUGUUAGGAGAGAGGAAUUUCAUACCUGGAGGGUUCUUUUUGGUCCUUUAUUUAUGGACGGAGGCUGAAGAACCAUGUAAUCUUUUGGAGAAAUCAUGGGGUCGACUCAGAUGUGGCAUGGCGAAUCUGUCAAUCGAGAUUGAUGAGAUAGUUAUUGCAUGUCUGUCAAUGUUGGGGGUAAUAUCAUACUAGCC